AAGCAUCCUGUUAAGUCAGGCAACGAGCGAGACCCACGCCAACAGUUGCCAGCAUGUCCUCCGGGGAUGAUGGGGACACUGUUGGGACCGCCUCUGCUAAAGAGGAGGGAGGAAUGGGCAACGGUAGGUCAGCAUGCCCCCGAAUUAUCCGGGCUACACGCGGGCUACAAUGGUCAGGACAAUGGGUAUCGACACCGAGAGGUGGAGGCAAUCUCCUAAACCUGUCCUUAGUUCGGAUUGUGGGCUGCAACUCGCCCACAUGAAGCUGGAAUCCGUAGUAAUCGCGUUUCAAGAUAGCGCGGUGAAUAUGUCCCUGCUCCUU
rnacentral:rRNA from 1 species